AUUGAACGCUGGCGGCAGGCUUAACACAUGCAAGUCGAGCGGGGUGAGGUGCUUCGGUACUGAUCCUAGCGGCGGACGGGUGAGUAAUGCUUAGGAAUCUGCCAUUUAGUGGGGGGCAACAUUCCGAAAGGGAUGCUAAUACCGCAUACGUCCUACGGGAGAAAGCAGGGGAUCUUCGGACCUUGCGCUAAAUGAUGAGCCUAAGUCGGAUUAGCUAGUUGGUGGGGUAAAGGCCUACCAAGGCGACGAUCUGUAGCGGGUCUGAGAGGAUGAUCCGCCACACUGGGACAGAGACACGGCCCAGACUCCUACGGGAGGCAGCAGUGGGGAAUAUUGGACAAUGGGCGGAAGCCUGAUCCAGCCAUGCCGCGUGUGUGAAGAAGGCCUUUUGGUUGUAAAGCACUUUAAGCGAGGAGGAGGCUACCUGGAUUAAUACUCUGGGAUAGUGGACGUUACUCGCAGAAUAAGCACCGGCUAACUCUGUGCCAGCCGCCGCGGUAACAC
rnacentral:rRNA from 1 species